CCAUUAACAAUUGGACAAAUGAAUCAAAAGACAGUUCUCAAAAGAAGUACAAACAGUCAUAGUGUCCCAUGCCAGAGCAACUGUGGCUCAGAACCAUUGCCUGACUUCUGCCUUUAGGCUGCUGGCAUUGAAGAGGGCUGCACAGUG
rnacentral:snoRNA from 1 species